GGCACUGUGGCUCAAAGUGGUAGAGCAUUAGCCUUAAGCUGAAGAACUCAGGGACAGUGCCC
rnacentral:tRNA from 1 species